GACGGAGGCUGCAAGCGUUAUUCGGAAUGAUUGGGCGUAAAGCGUGCGCAGGCGGCUGUUCAAGUCUGCUGUCAAAGACCGGGGCUUAACCUUAGAAAGGCAGUGGAAACUGGACGGCUGGAGUCCAGUAGGGGGAGAGGGAAUUCCAAGUGUAGCGGUGAAAUGCGUAGAGAUUGGGAAGAAUACCGGUGGAGAAAGCGCUCUGCUGGACGGAAAUUGACAUUGAGGGACGAAAGCGUGGGGAGCGAAAGGG
rnacentral:rRNA from 1 species